GAGAGGUUCUUUAUAGAUUUUGGAUAUUAGCCCUGUCAUUGCAAAUAUCUUCUCCCAUUCUGUAGGUUGCCUCUUAGUUUUGUUGACUGUUUCCUUUGUCGUGCAUAAGCUUUUUAGCUUGAUAAAUCACAAAAGUUCAUUUUUGCUUUUGCUUUCCUUGCCUUUGGA